AUCCAUCUGACUAGUCCCAAACUGGACAAAACGUGUGUCCUGGAU
rfam:Schistosoma mansoni strain Puerto Rico chromosome 1, complete genome